AGCUCCGGGACUGGGGAUAGAAUUUAUUAAGAUGCGAUCAAUCUUGGAAAGAUGGGAAGCUAUUAGCCUUUCGUAGACAGCCAUUGCAUGCGCUUUAUCACUAGGAGAAGGUGGAGGCUGUGGCAGUGGCACAGGGCCCUUGAGAAGGGCGCUCAAAGCAGUACUAGAAUUGUCCUUCAAAGAAGGGAACAACUUCCUUCCUUCAAAACAGGGUACAAUACGGCAGAUUACUACAAGAACAAAGAUGAAUAUGACUGCACUGGAACGAGCCAUGCAUGCAAAAGUUUACUAGCUAGAAGCUUAUUACCGUGAUGGAUUGAAUAAGAUUUGGGCUGUGUGGCGGAGGAGAUAAGGAAAUUCAUUACCCUUUUAUAAGCUUAUUGGAAGGGUUGAGAAACGUGCGGCUUUAGUUAUGGUUGGCCGAGUCACUGUGUUUUCGAAGUUGACAAAAGAAAAUGAGCAGCGCAUAGUAAUACAAAUUUUCAUCAAUGGUGGGAUUUGGCCCAAAAUCAUUUGGGGUAGGUACAUUUCAACUAACUAUGCCGGCAGGCCUGCUACUUUCUUGCUUU
rnacentral:misc_RNA from 1 species